rnacentral:rRNA from 1 species
UUGAACGCUGGCGGCAGGCCUAACACAUGCAAGUCGAACGGUAACAGGAAACAGCUUGCUGUUUCGCUGACGAGUGGCGGACGGGUGAGUAAUGUCUGGGAAACUGCCUGAUGGAGGGGGAUAACUACUGGAAACGGUAGCUAAUACCGCAUAACGUCGCAAGACCAAAGAGGGGGACCUUCGGGCCUCUUGCCAUCGGAUGUGCCCAGAUGGGAUUAGCUAGUAGGUGGGGUAACGGCUCACCUAGUCGACGAUCCCUAGCUGGUCUGAGAGGAUGACCAGCCACACUGGAACUGAGACACGGUCCAGACUCCUACGGGAGGCAGCAGUGGGGAAUAUUGCACAAUGGGCGCAAGCCUGAUGCAGCCAUGCCGCGUGUAUGAAGAAGGCCUUCGGGUUGUAAAGUACUUUCAGCGGGGAGGAAGGGAGUAAAGUUAAUACCUUUGCUCAUUGACGUUACCCGCAGAAGAAGCACCGGCUAACUCCGUGCCAGCAGCCGCGGUAAUACGGAGGGUGCAAGCGUUAAUCGGAAUUACUGGGCGUAAAGCGCACGCAGGCGGUUUGUUAAGUCAGAUGUGAAAUCCCCGGGCUCAACCUGGGAACUGCAUCUGAUACUGGCAAGCUUGAGUCUCGUAGAGGGGGGUAGAACUCCGGGUGUAGCGGUGAAAUGCGUAGAGAUCUGGAGGAAUACCGGUGGCGAAGGCGGCCCCCUGGACGAAGACUGACGCUCAGGUGCGAAAGCGUGGGGAGCAAACAGGAUUAGAUACCCUGGUAGUCCACGCCGUAAACGAUGUCGACUUGGAGGUUGUGCCCUUGAGGCGUGGCUUCCGGAGCUAACGCGUUAAGUCGACCGCCUGGGGAGUACGGCCGCAAGGUUAAAACUCAAAUGAAUUGACGGGGGCCCGCACAAGCGGUGGAGCAUGUGGUUUAAUUCGAUGCAACGCGAAGAACCUUACCUGGUCUUGACAUCCACGGAAGUUUUCAGAGAUGAGAAUGUGCCUUCGGGAACCGUGAGACAGGUGCUGCAUGGCUGUCGUCAGCUCGUGUUGUGAAAUGUUGGGUUAAGUCCCGCAACGAGCGCAACCCUUAUCCUUUGUUGCCAGCGGUCCGGCCGGGAACUCAAAGGAGACUGCCAGUGAUAAACUGGAGGAAGGUGGGGAUGACGUCAAGUCAUCAUGGCCCUUACGACCAGGGCUACACACGUGCUACAAUGGCGCAUACAAAGAGAAGCGACCUCGCGAGAGCAAGCGGACCUCAUAAAGUGCGUCGUAGUCCGGAUUGGAGUCUGCAACUCGACUCCAUGAAGUCGGAAUCGCUAGUAAUCGUGGAUCAGAAUGCCACGGUGAAUACGUUCCCGGGCCUUGUACACACCGCCCGUCACACCAUGGGAGUGGGUUGCAAAAGAAGUAGGUAGCUUAACCUUCGGGAGGGCGCUUACCACUUUGUGAUUCAUGACUGGGGUG